GCCCUGCUGGCGCAAUGGUUUAGCGCGCAAGACUUCUAGUGCCUUACAGACUACGAUAUCUUGAGGUUGCGGGUUCGAGUCCCGCGUGGGGUU